AGGGGUAUAGCUCAAUGGUAGAGUGAGCACUUAGCAUGCAUAAAUAAGGUCCUGGGUUCAAUUCCCAGUAUCUCUA
rnacentral:tRNA from 1 species